rnacentral:rRNA from 1 species
UUAAAUUGAAGAGUUUGAUCAUGGCUCAGAUUGAACGCUGGCGGCAGGCCUAACACAUGCAAGUCGAACGGUAACAGGAAGCAGCUUGCUGCUUUGCUGACGAGUGGCGGACGGGUGAGUAAUGUCUGGGAAACUGCCUGAUGGAGGGGGAUAACUACUGGAAACGGUGGCUAAUACCGCAUAACGUCGCAAGACCAAAGAGGGGGACCUUCGGGCCUCUUGCCAUCAGAUGUGCCCAGAUGGGAUUAGCUUGUUGGUGAGGUAACGGCUCACCAAGGCGACGAUCCCUAGCUGGUCUGAGAGGAUGACCAGCCACACUGGAACUGAGACACGGUCCAGACUCCUACGGGAGGCAGCAGUGGGGAAUAUUGCACAAUGGGCGCAAGCCUGAUGCAGCCAUGCCGCGUGUAUGAAGAAGGCCUUCGGGUUGUAAAGUACUUUCAGCGGGGAGGAAGGUGUUGUGGUUAAUAACCGCAGCAAUUGACGUUACCCGCAGAAGAAGCACCGGCUAACUCCGUGCCAGCAGCCGCGGUAAUACGGAGGGUGCAAGCGUUAAUCGGAAUUACUGGGCGUAAAGCGCACGCAGGCGGUCUGUCAAGUCGGAUGUGAAAUCCCCGGGCUCAACCUGGGAACUGCAUUCGAAACUGGCAGGCUUGAGUCUUGUAGAGGGGGGUAGAAUUCCAGGUGUAGCGGUGAAAUGCGUAGAGAUCUGGAGGAAUACCGGUGGCGAAGGCGGCCCCCUGGACAAAGACUGACGCUCAGGUGCGAAAGCGUGGGGAGCAAACAGGAUUAGAUACCCUGGUAGUCCACGCCGUAAACGAUGUCUACUUGGAGGUUGUGCCCUUGAGGCGUGGCUUCCGGAGCUAACGCGUUAAGUAGACCGCCUGGGGAGUACGGCCGCAAGGUUAAAACUCAAAUGAAUUGACGGGGGCCCGCACAAGCGGUGGAGCAUGUGGUUUAAUUCGAUGCAACGCGAAGAACCUUACCUGGUCUUGACAUCCACAGAACUUUCCAGAGAUGGAUUGGUGCCUUCGGGAACUGUGAGACAGGUGCUGCAUGGCUGUCGUCAGCUCGUGUUGUGAAAUGUUGGGUUAAGUCCCGCAACGAGCGCAACCCUUAUCCUUUGUUGCCAGCGGUUAGGCCGGGAACUCAAAGGAGACUGCCAGUGAUAAACUGGAGGAAGGUGGGGAUGACGUCAAGUCAUCAUGGCCCUUACGACCAGGGCUACACACGUGCUACAAUGGCGCAUACAAAGAGAAGCGACCUCGCGAGAGCAAGCGGACCUCAUAAAGUGCGUCGUAGUCCGGAUUGGAGUCUGCAACUCGACUCCAUGAAGUCGGAAUCGCUAGUAAUCGUGGAUCAGAAUGCCACGGUGAAUACGUUCCCGGGCCUUGUACACACCGCCCGUCACACCAUGGGAGUGGGUUGCAAAAGAAGUAGGUAGCUUAACCUUCGGGAGGGCGCUUACCACUUUGUGAUUCAUGACUGGGGUGAAGUCGUAACAAGGUAACCGUAGGGGAACCUGCGGUUGGAUCACCUCCUUACCUUAAAGAAGC